CGGGGAUUUUUAUUUCGGUAGAAAUUCUAGUGGCAAACGGGUGAGUAACGCGUAGACAACCUGCCUUUCCGAUGGGGACAACAGUUCGAAAGGACUGCUAAUACCGAAUGACGUGUCUCCUUCGCAUGGAAGAGAUACCAAAGACGGCCUCUAUUUAUAAGCUGUCGCGGAAAGAUGGGUCUGCGUCUGAUUAGCUGGUUGGAGGGGUAACGGCCCACCAAGGCGACGAUCAGUAGCCGGUCUGAGAGGAUGAACGGCCACAUUGGGACUGAGAAACGGCCCAAACUCCUACGGGAGGCAGCAGUGGGGAAUCUUCCGCAAUGGACGAAAGUCUGACGGAGCAACGCCGCGUGAGUGAAGAAGGUCUUCGGAUCGUAAAGCUCUGUUGUACGGGACGAAUGUUGAAGGCGUGAAUAAUGCCAUCAAAUGACGGUACUGUACGAGGAAGCCACGGCUAACUACGUGCCAGCAGCCGCGGUAAUACGUAGGUGGCGAGCGUUGUCCGGAAUUAUUGGGCGUAAAGGGAGCGCAGGUGGGAAGGUAAGUCUGUUUUAAAAGCGUCGGGCUCAACCCGAUGAGGGAACAGAAACUAUUUUUCUUGAGUGCAGGAGAGGAAAGCGGAAUUCCUAGUGUAGCGGUGA
rnacentral:rRNA from 1 species